rnacentral:lncRNA from 1 species
GGGGACCUGCCUCUCCAGCUCUGACUCUGGACGGAUCCUGGAGCAGGAACUCAGGCAGGGGACUCGCCAUCAGCCCUGCUGCCCAGGGAAGGAGGGACUGGCCCUUUAACUCCCAAUCUCAGCCUCAGGGACACUCGGAUGGCCCAGUGGUUCUAUUGCUGGCAGUCCGUCCUGCAGACACUCCAGACACGCGUGGAAAACAUCCAUUGCAGCCUGAUGUGAACUAUCAAAGGACUGGAAACAGCCUAAAUGGUCAUCAGCAGAGAACUGGAUGGACAAGAUGUGAUUCUGCCCACUCGCACUGCCAACUACAAUGUACCCACUUCAUGAAGAACGUGCAGGUCCUCGCGUUUAUUUAUUCAACAAAUUCCUUCUGAGUCCUUGUUACAUGAGGCCCGCUAUGCUCGGCGAAGGGGACACAAUAGUGCAUGAACACAAACCCCAUCCUGGCCUUGCAGAGCUUGGUCUGCCUGGGGAGUUUGACUGAGGAAUCGGCAAUGCCGCAGGUGUAGCCCUCCAGAGGGCUAUGGUGGAGACAACUCAGAGAAGUCAGGGCAGUCAAGAGUUCUUGUUGUGGCUCAGUGGUUAACGAAUCUGACUAGGAAGCAUGAGGUUGCGGGUUCGAUCCCUGGCCUUGCUCAGGGGGUCAAGAAUCCGGAGUUGCCAUGAGCUGUGGUGUAGGCUGCAGACAUGGCUCGGAUCCUGCGUUGCUGUGGCUGCGUUGUGUAGGCCGGCGGCUGUAGCUCCGAUUGGACCCCUAGCCUGGGAACAUCCAUAUGCCGUGGGAAGCGGCCCUGAAAAAGACCAAAAAAAAAAGUCAGGGAAGGCUUCCUGGAGGAAGUGGCGGUGGAACCACCAUCAAGUGGGAGAGGAAGGAAAGAGCACAUGCAAAUGUCCUAGGGAGAAAGAUGAUGUGGCCGGGUGAUGCAUGGAUGAAGAUUGCUGGGGCUGGAGCCAAGGGGGUGCCAUGUGGAGCCACCCAGACCCCCUUCAGGAGUGAAGUUCAGUGGGAACUCCUAAUUUUUUACUUUUAUUUUGCUUCUUUUUUUAAACAAAAUUUUAUUAUCAUUGAUUUACAAUUCUGUGUCAAAUUUUUGCUGUACAGCUAAGUGACCCAGCUAUAUAUACAUACACAUAGAAAUGUACAUUCUUUUCUUCAUUUUAUCCCUACGGACCCAUUUUAAACUUCUGAACUCCAGAACUGUAAAGAUAACAAAUUUGGGAAAUCCCAUCGUGGCACAGUGGAAACGAAUCUGACUAGGAACCAUGAGGUUGCAGGUUCGAUCCCUGGCCUUGCUUAGUGGGUUGAGGAUCCGGCACUGCCGUGAGCUGUGGUGUUGGUCACAGACACAACUUGGAUCUGGCGUUGCUGUGGCUCUGGCGUAGGCCAGUGGCUGUAGCUCCAAUUCGACCCCUAGCCUGGG